ACGCUCGACACCUACGGGAGGCAGCAGUGGGGAAUAUUGCACAAUGGGGGAAACCCUGAUGCAGCGACGCCGCGUGAAGGAAGAAGUAUUUCGGUAUGUAAACUUCUAUCAGCAGGGAAGAAACUGACGGUACCUGACUAAGAAGCACCGGCUAAAUACGUGCCAACAGCCGCGGUAAUCUGAGGCGGGCGUGGCGAAGGC
rnacentral:rRNA from 1 species